rnacentral:rRNA from 1 species
AUUGAACGCUGGCGGCAGGCCUAACACAUGCAAGUCGAGCGGAAACGAGUUAUCUGAACCUUCGGGGAACGAUAACGGCGUCGAGCGGCGGACGGGUGAGUAAUGCCUAGGAAAUUGCCCUGAUGUGGGGGAUAACCAUUGGAAACGAUGGCUAAUACCGCAUAAUACCUACGGGUCAAAGAGGGGGACCUUCGGGGCCUCUCGCGUCAGGAUAUGCCUAGGUGGGAUUAGCUAGUUGGUGAGGUAAUGGCUCGACCAAGGCGACGAUCCCCUAGCUGGUCUGAGAGGAUGAGUCAGCCACACUGGGAACUCGAGACACGGUCCAGACUCCUACGGGAGGCAGCAGUGGGGAACUAGUUGACACAAUG